rnacentral:misc_RNA from 1 species
AUAAAGACAAAAUAACUCAUUUGAUGAGAUAAAUCCAAUAACCAUAGUCUCAGCAUCUAUCAAGAAUAAUGCAUAGAUCCCAUUUAAUUGGUUGUUGGCAAAACUGACUACCUUCGUAUGGUCGUAUUUUAGAGAAUAGAGAUUUAAAAAGAAAGAUGUUUAUUAUGAAGUUCAAUCAACUAUUGAGAGUUCAAAACUUUGUGGCA